GAGGUCUGUUUGUGUUUUUCCACAGGGAGAACAGCAGCCGAUUUGGAUUCCAGAGAGAUUAACCAAAGCGAUUUCUACAGACCAAAAAGAAGAUGAUUUGACUCAAAUCCAUAACAGCUGAUAUCCAGAUCUCCAGCUUGGCUAUUCUUACAUCUGCAACAGAACCAGGAUGCUUUUUUCAAUAUCUAUUUUAUUAUUGCCUUUUCCCACAUCAUAAAGUUCUAUUUUAUUUUUGAGCUCAUACAGACCUAGGUUAAUGUUUUUCUGAUCAGUUUUAUUUUUUGACUGUGGAGUUUUUAAACAUUGCAAUGGAGAUUUCACCUGUGAAAAGCUACAAGGCCUUUACUAUUAUGUUAUGUGUUG
rnacentral:lncRNA from 1 species